rnacentral:rRNA from 1 species
UACGUAGGGGGCAAGCGUUGUCCGGAUUUACUGGGCGUAAAGAGCGUGUAGGCGGCCACGCAGGUCCGUUGUGAAAACUGGAGGCUCAACCUCCAGCUGUCGACGGAAACCGUGUGGCUAGAGUCCGGAAGAGGAGAGUGGAAUUCCUGGUGUAGCGGUGAAAUGCGCAGAUAUCAGGAAGAACACCAGUGGCGAAGGCGGCUCACUGGUCCGGUACUGACGCUGAGGUGCGAAAGCGUGGGGAGCAAACAGG